rnacentral:rRNA from 1 species
UCAGAAUGAACGCUGGCGGCAUGGAUUAGGCAUGCAAGUCGAACGUGCUCCCUUCGGGGAGAAAGUGGCGAAAGGGUGAGUAACACGUGAGCAACCUGCCUCCGGAUCCGGAAUAAUCCAGGGAAACUUGGUCUAAAACCGGAUGAAGACAUUGGUCCGCAUGGUCUAAUGUUAAAAAUAUUUAUAGUCCGGAGAGGGGCUCGCGGCCCAUUAGCUUGUUGGCGGGGUAAUGGCCCACCAAGGCUACGACGGGUAGGUGGUCUGAGAGGAUGGUCACCCACACUGGGACUGAGACACUGCCCAGACUCCUACGGGAGGCUGCAGUCGAGAAUCUUCCGCAAUGGGCGCAAGCCUGACGGAGCGAUGCCGCGUGAGGGAUGAAGGCCUUCGGGUUGUAAACCUCUGUCAUCCGGGACGAAAACAAUGACGGUACCGGAAAAGGAAGCCACGGCUAACCACGUGCCAGCAGCCGC